UGGCCUACGGGAGGCAGCAGUGGGGAAUAUUGCACAAUGGGGGAAACCCUGAUGCAGCGACGCCGCGUGAGUGAAGAAGUAUUUCGGUAUGUAAAGCUCUGUCAGCAGGGAAGAAGAAAGACGGUACCUGACCAAGAAGUCCCGGCUAAAUACGUGCCAGCAGCCGCGGUAAUACGUAUGGGGCAAGCGUUAUCCGGAUUUACUGGGUGUAAAGGGAGCGUAGGCGGCAGGGCAAGCCUGAUGUGAAAGCCCGGGGCUCAACCCCGGGACUGCAUUGGGAACUGCCCUGCUGGAGUGCCGGAGGG
rnacentral:rRNA from 1 species